rnacentral:pre_miRNA from 2 species
UAGGUCCUGUUGGAGAAGCAGGGCACGUGCAACUCACUUUCACUACUUCAUUUGAUUUUGCACGUGCUCCCCUUCUCCAACACGAUUUU